UACAGAGGUCUCAAGCGUUGUUCGGAUUCAUUGGGCGUAAAGGGUGCGUAGGCGGCGCGGUAAGUCGGGUGUGAAAUCUCGGAGCUUAACUCCGAAACUGCAUUCGAUACUGCCGUGCUUGAGGACUGGAGAGGAGACUGGAAUUUACGGUGUAGCGGUGAAAUGCGUAGAUAUCGGUAGGAACACCAGUGGCGAAGGCGGUCUCCUGGAGCAGACUUGACGCUGAGGCGCGAAAGCUGGGGGAGCGAACGGG
rnacentral:rRNA from 1 species